AAACAUUCAAAACUCUAUCUGUAAAGCCAGAGGACAUGUCCUCUCACUGAAUUUCUGUACUCUGGCUCUGAAUCUGCAUUCUAAUCAUUAUUCCUUUGCCUCAUUUUCAGCUCCAACCUUAUUGUAAGUGCCUGCUAGGAACCUGCCUAACUCUCCAGAACUGGGGCUCUGCAUUAUUCAUCACAGUCCUUUGACAUUAAACCAGGACUCCUUCUGGGACGAGAGUCUGUCUACAUACCCUGGGCCUGGCUACUGGCUGACAGUCUUGCUUAUGGCUUAUUUGCCCAUAUCUGAGAAACAACAAAAGAAUCACAGCUGGAUUUCCAGAUGCUUCUAAUAGAGGAAAAAUGCAGAGUAAAAAACUCCCCAAGACAAGCUCAGAAAGGAUGAUGUUCACCACGAUUAAGUCUCCAGUCAGCCAUGUGAG
rnacentral:lncRNA from 1 species